AAGAAUUUCAUUUAGUUGGAUCGGUGACAGGUGAUGCAUGGCCGUCGUCAGCUCGUGUCGUGAGAUGUUUGGUUAAGUCCAUCAACGAGCGCAACCCUUGUGGACAGUUGUAUUUUUCUGUUCAAACUGCCUCGGUAACGGGGAGGAAGGAGGGGACGACGUCUGGUCAGUAUUCCCUUACGUCCUGGGCUAGAAACGCGCUACAAUGGCUGGUACAAUGCGCUGCUAAAUCGCGAGAUGGAGCAAAUCGCAUCAAAACCAGUCCCAGUUCGGAUUGCAGGCUGAAACUCGCCUGCAUGAAGUCGGAAUCGCUAGUAAUCGCGGAUCAGCAUGCUGCGGUGAAUACGUUCCUGGGGAUU
rnacentral:rRNA from 1 species